GAUGAACGCUGGCGGCGUGCCUAAUACAUGCAAGUCGAGCGAACAGACGAGGAGUUUGCUCCUCUGACGUUAGCGGCGGACGGGUGAGUAACACGUGGAUAACCUACCUAUAAGACUGGGAUAACUUCGGGAAACCGGAGCUAAUACCGGAUAAUAUAUUGAACCGCAUGGUUCAAUAGUGAAAGACGGUUUUGCUGUCACUUAUAGCUGGAUCCGCGCCGCAUUGGCUAGUUGGUAAGUUAACGGCUUACCAAGGCAACGAUGCGUAGCCGACCUGAGAGGGGGAUCGGCCACACUGGAACGGAGACACGGUCCAGACUCCUACGGGAGGCAGCAGUAGGGAAUCUGCCGCAACGGGCGAAAGCCUGACGGAGCAACGGCGCGUGAGUGAUGAAGGUCUUCGGAUCGUAAAACUCUGUUACUAGGGAAGAACAAAUGUGUAAGUAACUAUGCACGUCGUGACGGUACCUAAUCAGAAGGCCACGGCUAACUACGUG
rnacentral:rRNA from 1 species